rnacentral:lncRNA from 1 species
UUGGUGCAUGACUGUAGAACUUUAAGCAAUGAUGAAAAUGCUCUAUAUCUACACUGUCCAUUAUGGUUCUGCUUGAAUUCUUGCCCUGGCUCUUGGUGAAGGGUCGGCCUGCUGGAUCUGAGUCAUCCACCUAUAAGAGGGACACCACCAAACAUUGGUCACUGCUCUCAAGCCCCUGGAACACCACCCCACUUGGCUUCUCCUGGUAACAGUGGCUGCCUUUGCUUGCCUGUCUCCAACUCCUCCCAAGAGCAUUGCUGACUAUAUCACCCACAUAAACAAAAACUUUUUGGGAGUCCUCCAGAAUUUUUAAGAGUUAUCUAAACUAUUGCCUUUAAUGACCAGGAACUCCAAUUUGAGAAGUGUUACCCUACGUUAAGCCAACAGCAGCCUGGCUCCUUCAUGCUGUGCAGUAUGGGACAGAGCUGGGUCCUUGUUGUCAUCAGCCAGAUAAGCACACAUUAAAGCCCACCUUAGCAGUUGACAUUAGAUCUUUAAAAGCAGCUCCAUCCUACCAUGCUGUCACUCUACUCAAUCACGUGAUCUUAACG